GUCCACCUGAAAAGUCUAAAAUAGGACGAAACGUGAGUCUUGGAU
rnacentral:hammerhead_ribozyme from 1 species